CGAUAAUACAAUUUGACAACAACAUUGCAGCUGGUUGUCGAAUUCUGAACAUUAAAGUUGGUCCGUAGAGGCCAAUCCAUCCUCACGCCCUCCACUGGCCAGGUCAGAGCAUCUAACAUCCCAUGGAUUCCCACUUUCUCUCCCUCCCCAGCCACAUGCACCCAAGGGUAGAGAACCAUCAGACCCCCCCGAUGGAAUCUACACACCGGUGGUGGUGAUGAAGGAGUCCGAAGACCAGACCGAAGGCUCCGGACCAGUCAGCUGGAGU